GACAGAGGGUGCAAACGUUGCUCGGAAUCACUGGGCGUAAAGGGCGUGUAGGCGGGAAGGAAAGUCAGAUGGGAAAUCCCUGGGCUCAACCCAGGAACUGCAUUUGAAACUCCCUUUCUUGAGUGUCGGAGAGGAAAGCGGAAUUCCUUGUGUAGAGGUGAAAUUCGUAGAUAUCAGGAGGACCCCCGGUGGCGAAGGCGGCUUUCUGGACGACAACUGACGCUGAGACGCGAAAUCGUGGGGAGCGAUCCGG
rnacentral:rRNA from 1 species